UACGAGGGGUGCGAACGUUAUUCGGAUUUAUUGGGUGUAAAGGGUGCGUAGACGGUGUAUUAAGUUUGUUGUUAAAUCUCUUGGCCUAACCGAGAGCUUGCGAUGAAAACUGAUAUGCUUGAGUGUGGAAGAGAGAAGUGGAAUUCUCGGAGUAGCGGUAAAAUGCGUAGAUCUCGAGAGGAACACCGAUGGCGAAGGCAGCUUCUUGGUCCAUUACUGACGUUGAGGCACGAAAGCGUGGGGAGCAAACAGG
rnacentral:rRNA from 1 species